rnacentral:rRNA from 1 species
GCAGUGGGGAAUAUUGCACAAUGGGCGAAAGCCUGAUGCAGCAACGCCGUGUGAGCGAAGAAGGCCUUCGGGUCGUAAAGCUCUGUCCUAAGGGAAGAAUAAAAUGACGGUACCUUAGGAGGAAGCCCCGGCUAACUACGUGCCAGCAGCCGCGGUAAUACGUAGGGGGCAAGCGUUAUCCGGAAUCACUGGGCGUAAAGGGUGCGUAGGCGGACUUUCAAGCCAGGGGUGAAAGGCAUAGGCUUAACCAAUGUAAGCCUUUGGAACUGGGAGUCUUGAGUGCAGGAGAGGUAAGUGGAAUUCCUAGUGUAGAGGUGAAAUUCGUAGAUAUUAGGAGGAACACCGGUGGCGAAGGCGACUUACUGGACUGUAACUGACGCUGAGGCACGAAAGCGUGGGUAGCGAACAGGAUUAUGAUACCCUGGUAGUCCACCCCGUAAACGAUGAAUAACUAGGUGUCGGGUGUC